rnacentral:tRNA from 1 species
CGGUCCCAUAGUCUAGUGGCCUAGGACAUCGCCCUUUCAAGGCGAGCACCUGAGUUCGAAUCUCAGUGGGACCGCCAU